rnacentral:rRNA from 1 species
AGCAGCCGCGGUAAUUCCAGCUCCAAUAGCGUAUAUUAAAGUUGUUGCAGUUAAAAAGCUCGUAGUUGAAUUUCGGGAUCAGUAUGUUGGUCGUGCUUCGGUACGUACUGUCAUUACUGGUUUCUACCUUCUGAAGAACCUUGAUGUCAUUAAUUUGGUGUCUUGGGGAAUCAGGACUGUUACUUUGAAAAAAUUAGAGUGUUUAAAGCAAGCAUACGCUUGAAUACAUUAGCAUGGAAUAAUGAAAUAGGACGUUUGAUUCUAUUUUGUUGGUUUCUAGGAUCGACGUAAUGAUUAAUAGGGAUAGUUGGGGGCAUUAGUAUUCAAUUGUCAGAGGUGAAAUUCUUGGAUUUAUUGAAGACUAACUACUGCGAAAGCAUUUGCCAAGGAUGUUUUCAUUAAUCAAGAACGAAAGUUAGGGGAUCGAAGACGAUCAGAUACCGUCGUAGUCUUAACCAUAAACUAUGCCGACUAGGGAUCGGAUGAUGUAUUUUUAAUGA